CGAGUGUCCACAAACAAAAGUCAAAAUCAAAAAAUUCAAAAUUGUCAUUUGAAAAUAUCAAUGGCAAGUGGCAGCUGCGUUAGCAGCUGGUCGUGUUUGUAAAUUAUAUCGUUUGUAUCAAAUAAUAAUUUACAAUCUGAUAUUUACAUACUUUUCUGUGAAUUCGGAGUAUGGCGAUCACGCCUGCUCACUGUUAAAACCCUUUGUGUUUAACUGAAGCAAUCAUUCAGCGCUACACGGAUUGUUUCGAAAAAAUGGAUGUAACAGGAUCGAUUAACAAUGAAGAUUUGACUGAGGCGGUUGAAAAUGAGGAGGACGUGGACUAUUCGGAGGAGAGAGAGCUGGUGGAGGACUCCUGCUCUACCAAAGUGCUGGAUAAUUGCGCGGAGCCUCGCGACAAAUAUCGGAUUGUAUACAUUCUGUUCUAUUUAUUCGGAAUAUCUUCUCUCGUGCCUUGGAACUUCUUGAUAACUGCUAAUGACUAUUGGAUGUACAAAUUCCGUGAUGUUGAACCAAACAACCUGACCAUGUAUGUGCGGAAGACACAGUUCCAGGCAGAGUUCACCUCCUACCUAAAUGUAGCCACUGCAAUACCCAAUUUAAUAUUCCUCAUACUGAAUUCACUAUAUGGACAUUGGAUAUCAAUAAAAACCAGAUUGCAAGGCUCCCUAAUAAUAGUGACAUUAGCACUCCUGGUGACGACGUCAUUCGUGCAAGUGGACACAGACGACUGGCAGAACACUUUCUUCAUCAUCACCAUCGUGUCUGUAGUCAUUAUGACAGCUGCCAGCGCAGUGUUCAUAGGCUGUCUAGUGGGCAUUGCGAGCAAAUUCUCUGAAGAAUACAUGGCGGCCGUGGUCAGCGGCCAGUCCUUGGGGGGUAUUAUAGCCGCCAUCGCGCAAAUCAUAUCCUUAGCCUUCAAAAUAUCCCCCUUACACAGCGCUAUCAUAUACUUCAGUAUAGCCGACAUCAUGGUUAUACUGUCGCUUAUAUCGUACGCUAUGUUGUAUAAAAUUGACUUUUUCACAUAUCACAUCCUAAGAGGGUCGGGUAUGGCGACAAAUAGACACAGGGAGGCGUCUAUGCUGGUCAUACUGAAGAAGAUCUGGGUGUACGCCUUCAGUAUCUUCGCCGUGUUCGGGAUAUCCAUGGCGGUGUACCCCGCUGUCACUGUUCUGGUGGAGUCUCACCCGGUCACCGCGGGCACCGAUUGGAACAAGAUAUUCUUCGUGCCGGUGGUGAACUAUCUGAUAUUCAACUGCGGCGAUUACUCCGGUCGCUUGGUCGCUGGAUUUUUAUUACGGCCGUACAACCAGUGGGUGAUCGCCGGCGCCAGCCUGCUGCGGCUGGUGGGCGUGCCGAUGCUGAUGCUGUGCAACGCGCAACCGCGCAAGCACCUGCCCGUGGUGUUCCUGUGGGACUACGAGUACAUCCUCAUCAUGAUCGUGUUCGCCUUCACCAACGGCUACCUCACCAACAUCGUCAUGAUCAACUCCACCAGGUAUGAGUGUACAGUGCGCGCAAGCACCUGCCCGUGGUGUUCCUGUGGGACUACGAGUACAUCCUCAUCAUGAUCGUGUUCGCCUUCACCAACGGCUGCCUCACCAACAUCGUCAUGAUCAACUCCACCAGGAUGGUGGAGAUGCACGAACGGGAGAAGGCGUCCUCCGUGAUCGCGACCAUGCUCAGUGUUGGGCUGACGGUGGGCGCCGCCGUGGGCAU
rnacentral:misc_RNA from 1 species